AUGGCCUGGACCACUCUGCUGCUCCCCCUUCUCACUCUCUGCACAGGUUCUGCGACUUCCUAUGAGGUGACACAGCCACCGUUGGCGUCUGUUGCUCCGGGACAGACAGUCACCAUCACCUGCCAGGUAGAUUACUUUGAGGACAGAAGUUACGUGCACUGGUACCAGCAGAAGUCCGGCCAGGCCCCUGUGCCGGUCAUGUAUUAUAGCAGCAACCGGCGCUCAGGGAUCCCUGACCGAUUCUCAGCCUCCAGCUCAGGGAACACAGCCACCCUGACCAUCAGCGGGACCCAGGCCCAGGUCAAGGCUGACUAUCACUGUCAGGUGUGGGACAGCAGUGAUGGAGCCACAGGGACACAGGCAGACGGGGAAACAGGCUCUUCAGGGCUGUCCUGGGAGACGACACAAUGA